CGGACCCAAUUCUCUUGGGUCAUGCGUUAGGACCCAACUAGAUUGGGUCUGGUGUCAGGACCCAAUUCUCUUGCGUCCUGCGUCACGAUCCAAGACUAAUGGGUCCU
rfam:Populus trichocarpa scaffold_4_contig_351, whole genome shotgun sequence.